rnacentral:lncRNA from 1 species
CUCUUUCUCCUCCCUGCCUAACUGGUGAGGUGGGACUUCAAUGCCUUUUAGGUUUACAGUCUUUUCCUCCCCACGGCUUCUCUUUCCUCCCCGUCUCAGGCACUGGGCAUUUCCAGUCGAUCCAGCAGGUCUGGCUUCUCUCACAUAUGCAGUAAGGGUUAGGGGAGAAGGUCCCAGCUCCUCUUGUCUCUAGCAGAGUGUAAACUGGCUCUGCUGAGGAGGUGGCUGUGCUUUUAUUCCUUCUCCUGAGAACUGUUUAUAUAUUAAGGAGCUUCACAGCCUCCAACAUAAGGAAAGCAGGCCUCAAACUUCUUCAUGGGAAAAGAUGGCUUCUCUUUUUUAAUUGAAUGAACUAGAAGAAGUUCAUUGUUAUUCAUCAACUUCAAAGAGACUAUAUGAGGCCCCUUGGCCAGGACUACAGAGCAGUAUUUUUUAAUCAGAAAUUAUAGCCAAAAAGAAGAGACCAGAACACAUGGUCUUUGGUUUUUGUUAUAGCAGCCUGCAUGGACUAAGACAAGCUCAUUUUCUGGAAAGUCUUGAACUAAGUACUUGAAAAUACAAAGAUAAAUGAAGCACAAGUGCUGACUUCAAGGAAAUGCCAGAAUUGAAAGAAACUACUUUAAAUUUCAUAUGGAACCAAAAAAAGCCCAUAUAGCCAAGAUGAUCCUAAGCAAAAAGAGCAAAGCUGGAGGCAUCAUGCUACCUGGCUUCAAACUAUACUACAAGGCUACAGUAACAAAAACAGCAUGGCACUGGUACUAAAACAGAUAUAUAGACCAAUGGAACAGAACAGAGGCCUCAGAAAUAACGCCACACAUCUACAACCAUCUGAUCUUUGACAAACCUGACAAAAACAAGCAAUGAGGAAAGGAUUCCCUAUUUAAUAAAUGGCGUUGGGAAAACUGGCUAGCCAUAUGCAGAAAACUGAAACUGGACCCCUUCCUGAUACCUUAAACAAAAAUUAAUUCAAGGUAGAUUAAGGACUUAAACAUAAGACCUAAAACCAUAAAAACCCUAGAAGAAAAGCUAGGCAAUACCAUUCAGGACACAGGCAUGGGCAAAGACUUCAUGACUAAAACACCAAAAGCAAUGGCAACAAAAGCCAAAAUAGACAAAUG